UCUGCUCGCGUCUCCUUCUCGCGUCUGCUAGGGCACAGCGCCCCUUUCUCUUCUUCUUCCUUUUCUCCGGCCGGCGGCUUCUUCUCUUCCCUUGCCGCAGGCCGGCCAACUCUUCCCAACCUCCUCUUCUGCGAUCUGCUCCAAGCGGCGACGGCAGCAAACGCCGGCGGCUCCUUUGAAGCGACGACCUCAACUAGGGUUUCUAUUCGGCGAGGCGUUCUUCUCCGGAAAGCAUCCCUCUUCACCCCUUCCUCAGUGUAGCUUCUCCUGCGGACGGCGUUCCGAAAGCAGCGGGUUCCAACAGAGGAAGCCAGCUGUCCCUUCUUCUCCGGCGAAUUUCUUCUGCUUCCAUCACUGAGCAGUGUUGUGGCUUCCUGCGGACAGUGUUCCGAAGGCAGGAACUCCAGCAACUUCAGUCUACAAUUCCGGCAGAAGCAAGUGGCAUCUCAGUGUGUCAAUUUACAGUACAUCACUGUUCUUUCUUAAUUUUGUGUGGCUGUUGAGAGUUGUAAUCAAAGGUUCUGUCAUUGUGUUGCUGUCCACUGGGGCUGGUGUUCCAAAUCCGGGUCUCCGUGUGACGACGGAGGUGCUGGCUUUUGAACUGCACUUGCUUGCCACAAAGCAUCAGAUGUUUCAUCUGAUUCCAACACCUCAGGGAGCUUUUAUGUACUCAAUGACAUAUUCCAUCUCAACGUGCUCAUUACAAAGAUUCUAGGAUACACUUGGAGGAA